rnacentral:rRNA from 1 species
UCAAGAGUACGUGAAACCGUUCAGGGGUAAACCUGAGAAACCCAAAAGAUCGAAUGGGGAGAUUCAUCCUCAGCGGCGUUGGCUUCCGUGCGGCUCGCGAUGGCCGGGAUCUCGGUCUCGCGUCACGCGGUCGCCGCGGCAUGUCCGACGUCGUCGGUGUGCACUUCUCCCCUAGUAGGACGUCGCGACCCGUUGGGUGUCGGAUCAAUGGCCGAUCGGUCGUCUGUUGCGCCUCGGUGCGACAGACCGAUUAGUUUAACGUCCGGCUGCCCGGCGGUAUAGAACGCUUAAUCACGGUAAUGGGCCGCAAUUUGAAUGCGUCCAGGCCCGUCGGCAGGCUCGUCUCGCUCGGAAUUACGGACCUAGCACCGUUACCGGGCGCUUGGCGUGGCUGUUAGUCAACGGUGUCCUCGGACUGGCUCUUACCGGUCUGCGACGCUACUGCUUUGGGUACUUUCAGGACCCGUCUUGA